UACGAAGGGGGCGAGCGUUGUUCGGAUUUACUGGGCGUAAAGGGCGCGCAGGCGGUUCUGUUUGUCGAGUGUGAAAGCCCCGGGCUCAACCUGGGAACUGCGCUCGAAACGGCGGAACUAGAGUUCGGGAGAGGAGAGUGGAAUUCCCAGUGUAGAGGUGAAAUUCGUAGAUAUUGGGAAGAACACCGGUGGCGAAGGCGGCUACUCUCGGAGCCCGAGUACGUGACGUCUGAGGCGCGAAAGCGUGGGGAGCAAACAGG
rnacentral:rRNA from 1 species